rnacentral:rRNA from 1 species
UACAAAGGGGGCUAGCGUUGCUCGGAAUCACUGGGCGUAAAGGGUGCGUAGGCGGGUCUUUAAGUCAGGGGUGAAAUCCUGGAGCUCAACUCCAGAACUGCCUUCGAUACUGGAGAUCUUGAGACCGGAAGAGGUAAGUGGAACUGCGAGUGUAGAGGUGAAAUUCGUAGAUAUUCGCAAGAACACCAGUGGCGAAGGCGGCAUCCUGGACCAACACUGACACUGAGGAGCGAAAGCCAGGGGAGCAAACGGG